AGUGAACGCUGGCGGCAGGCCUAACACAUGCAAGUCGAACGGCAGCACAGAGGAGCUUGCUCCUUGGGUGGCGAGUGGCGGACGGGUGAGGAAUACAUCGGAAUCUGCCUAUUUGUGGGGGAUAACGUAGGGAAACUUACGCUAAUACCGCAUACGACCUACGGGUGAAAGCGGAGGACCUUCGGGCUUCGCGCAGAUAGAUGAGCCGAUGUCGGAUUAGCUAGUUGGCGGGGUAAAGGCCCACCAAGGCGACGAUCCGUAGCUGGUCUGAGGGGAUGAUCAGCCACACUGGAACUGCGACACGGUCCAGACUCCUACGGGAGGCAGCAGUGGGGAAUAUUGGACAAUGGGCGCAAGCCUGAUGCAGCCAUGCCGCGUGGGUGAAGAAGGCCUUCGGGUUGUAAAGCCCUUUUGUUGGGAAAGAAAAGCAGCCGGUUAAUACCCGGUUGUUCUGACGGUACCCAAAGAAUAAGCACCGGCUAACUUCGUGCCAGCCGCCGCAGUAACAC
rnacentral:rRNA from 1 species